UACUGAUCCUGCAGCUGAAGAGAUUCAGCUUCACCAAAACCUACGACCUGGUGAAGGUGCAGAGCCCGGUUGUUUUAUCAAGAGAGCUGGUGGUGAAUCCAGAAUCUAGCGUUGCCGAACAGACAACAACUCGCUACUCUCUGGUGAGCAUCGUCAGCCAUUUAGGAUCCACAGCUAACUCUGGACAUUAUAUUUGUGACGGAGCCUACAGACCGGGAGAUAAUAAAGACCGAUGGCUAACUUACAACGACAAACACGUCAGUGAGACGACCGGCGCGUCUGUCUGCCACAAUCGCCGACAAACAGCCUACCUGCUGUUCUACGUGAAGCAGCAGUAGAAAAGAAUCAUCGUUGGAGGACCAAAAUUCAAACAGUGUUUUGUAUAUUUUAUUUGUAUAUUUUUUUUCUAUUUUAUAUAUUUAUUUGUUUAUUGGUAUAUAGUUUUAUGUAUAUAUAUA